ACGAGCGACGCCGCGUGCGGGAUGAAGGCCCUCGGGUUGUAAACCGCUGUCAGUAGUUAGGAAAUGCAUGGUGGUUAUCCAUCAUGUUUGACCGAUCUUCAGAGGAAGGACGGGCUAAGUUCGUGCCAGCAGCCGCGGUAAGACGAACCGUCCAAACGUUAUUCGGUAUCACUGGGCUUAAAGCGUGCGUAGGCGGCUUGGUAGGUGCGAUGUGAAAUCCCACGGCUCAACCGUGGAACUGCGUUGCAAACCCCCAAGCUCGAGGAAGAUAGGGGUGAUGGGAACUUAUGGUGGAGCGGUGAAAUGCGUUGAUAUCAUAGGGAACACCGGUGGCGAAAGCGCAUCACUGGAUCUUUUCUGACGCUGAGGCACGAAAGCUAGGGUAGCGAACGGGAUUAGAUACCCCGGUAGUCCUAGCCGUAAACGAUGAAUACUGGGUUGAGGGGACUCUCACAUCCUCUCGGCCGUAGCGAAAGCGUUAAGUAUUCCGCCUGGGGAGUAUGGUCGCAAGGCUGAAACUCAAAGGAAUUGACGGGGCCUUCACACAAAAAG
rnacentral:rRNA from 1 species